AUACGGAGGGUGCAAGCGUUAAUCGGAAUUACUGGGCGUAAAGGGUACGUAGGCGGUUAAAUAAGUUGGAUGUGAAAGCCCCGGGCUCAACCUGGGAACUGCAUUCAAAACUGUUUGACUAGAGUGUAUGAGAGGUUGGCGGAAUCCCAGGUGUAGCAGUGAAAUGCGUAGAUAUCUGGAGGAACAUCAGUGGCGAAGGCGGCCAACUGGCAUAACACUGACGCUGAGGUACGAAAGCGUGGGGAGCGAACGGGAUUAGAAACCCCAGUAGUCC
rnacentral:rRNA from 1 species